rnacentral:rRNA from 1 species
AACGAACGCUGGCGGCAGGCCUAACACAUGCAAGUCGAACGCACCGCAAGGUGAGUGGCGCACGGGUGAGUAACACGUGGGAAUGUACCCUUUGGUUCGGAAUAACGUCUGGAAACGGACGCUAAUACCGGAUGAGCCCUGCGGGGGAAAGAUUUAUCGCCAAAGGAGCAGCCCGCGUCUGAUUAGCUAGUUGGUGGGGUAAAGGCCUACCAAGGCGACGAUCAGUAGCUGGUCUGAGAGGAUGAUCAGCCACACUGGGACUGAGACACGGCCCAGACUCCUACGGGAGGCAGCAGUGGGGAAUAUUGGACAAUGGGCGAAAGCCUGAUCCAGCCAUGCCGCGUGAGUGAUGAAGGCCUUCGGGUUGUAAAGCUCUUUCGCACGCGACGAUGAUGACGGUAGCGUGAGAAGAAGCCCCGGCUAACUACGUGCCAGCCGCCGCGGUAAAAC